rnacentral:lncRNA from 1 species
CUGAACAGUAACAUCUCAAACCCUAGAAACUUUUGGAAAGUCAUAAAUAAACUACAAACUCCCCCAAUCCACUCCCAACCCUCCACUGUCAAAGUGGGUAACCAAACCCUGCAACUUCCUUUAGAUGUUGCAAAUGCCUUUAACAAUUAUUUUGUUGGAUGCUCUACUGCCCUGAUUGACAAGCUAAUAAAUGACACGCAUCCUGAAACUACAAAUGUGGAUCAGGCCCCACUAAAUUUGCAAAGGCCCAAUAUAGAUAAGUUUAAUUUUAGACCUGUACCUGUUAGUGUCAUUAAAAAACAUCUUAAUAAUCUAAAAAUGAAAAACC